CAGAGGUCCCGAGCGUUGUUCGGAUUCAUUGGGCGUAAAGGGUGCGUAGGCGGUCUUCUAAGUUUGAUGUGAAAUCCCGGGGCUCAACCCUGGAAUUGCAUUGAAUACUGGAGGACUAGAGUCCCGGAGAGGAAGCUGGAAUUUACGGUGUAGCAGUGAAAUGCGUAGAGAUCGUAAGGAAGACCAGUGGCGAAGGCGAGUUUCUGGACGGGUACUGACGCUGAGGCACGAAGGCCAGGGGAGCAAACGGGAUUAGAUACCCCGGUAGUCCUGGCAGUAAACGGUGCAUGUUUGGUGUGGGAGGAAUCGACCCCUUCCGUGCCGGAGCUAACGCGUUAAACAUGCCGCCUGGGGAGUACGGUCGCAAGAUUA
rnacentral:rRNA from 1 species